rnacentral:lncRNA from 1 species
AUUUAGAUUGCAUUCAAGCUACCUAUACUAGGGAAGCAUUCUCUGGUUUUCACUAUUGGCAGUUUAAAAAAUUGUUCUUCACAUUUGGAGAUGACAGAAUUGACUUGCCAUAAGUAAAGGGUUGAUGAUAGAUUUAUGCCAAAUCCUCCAUAUCCCGUGGCUGGACCCAUGUGAAUAGUGGCUCGCACGAGCACUGUCUGGUAGCUCUCUAGCUGGCUGGAGUGUAGGAUUGCAUUGUUAAGUUAUGGAGGGAAAAAGUCAUUAUGG